UACAGAGGUCUCAAGCGUUGUUCGGAUUCAUUGGGCGUAAAGGGUGCGUAGGCGGCGCGGUAAGUCGGGUGUGAAAUCUUGGAGCUUAACUCCGAAACUGCAUUCGAUACUGCCGUGCUUGAGGACUGGAGAGGAGACUGGAAUUUACGGUGUAGCGGUGAAAUGCGUAGAUAUCGUAAGGAAGACCAGUGGCGAAGGCGGGUCUCUGGACAGUUCCUGACGCUGAGGCGCGAAAGCGUGGGGAGCGAACAGG
rnacentral:rRNA from 1 species